GCACGCUUAACACAUGCAAGUCGAGCCGGAGCUUUUUCAUUGCGAAGGGAGUAGCUUGCUACGAACGGAGCGCCGAGGGAGCUUAGCGGCGGACGGGUGAGUAACACGUGGGCAACCUACCCUAUACAGGGGGAUAACGUAUAGAAAUGUACGCUAAAACCGCAUAAGCCUACAGGACCGCAUGGUGCGGUAGGAAAAUCGUUAGAGGUAUAGGAUGGGCCCGCGACUGAUUAGCAAGUUGGUGAGGUAAAGGCUCACCAAGGCAACGAUCAGUAGCCGGUCUGAGAGGAUGAACGGCCACAUUGGGACUGAGACACGGCCCAGACUCCUACGGGAGGCAGCAGUGGGGAAUAUUGCACAAUGGGGGAAACCCUGAUGCAGCGAUGCCGCGUGAAGGACGAAGGUUUUCGGAUUGUAAACUUCUAUCAGCAAGGAAGAAAAUGACAGUACUUGACUAAGCAGCCCCGGCUAACUACGUGCCAGCAGCCGCGGUAAUACGUAGGGGGCGAGCGUUAUCCGGAAUUACUGGGUGUAAAGGGUGCGUAGGCGGCGAGAUAAGUCAGCUGUGAAACCCUGGGGCUCAACUCCAGGCUUGCAGUUGAAACUGUCUUGCUAGAGUACAGGAGGGGAAAGCGGNAUUACUAGUGUAGCGGUGAAAUGCGUAGAUAUUAGUAGAACACCGGCGGCG
rnacentral:rRNA from 1 species